CCUACGGGCUGCACCAGUGGGGAAUAUUGCACAAUGGGCGCAAGCCUGAUGCAGCCAUGCCGCGUGUGUGAAGAAGGCCUUCGGGUUGUAAAGCACUUUCAGCGAGGAGGAAGGCGGUGAGGUUAAUAACCUCAUCGAUUGACGUUACCCGCAGAAGAAGCACCGGCUAACUCCGUGCCAGCAGCCGCGGUAAUACGGAGGGUGCAAGCGUUAAUCGGAAUUACUGGGCGUAAAGCGCACGCAGGCGGUCUGUCAAGUCGGAUGUGGAAUCCCCGGGCUCAACCUGGGAACUGCAUUCGAAACUGGCAGGCUAGAGUCUUGUAGAGGGGGGUAGAAUUCCAGGUGUAGCGGUGAGAUGCGUAGAGAUCUGGAGGAAUACCGGUGGCGAAGGCGGCCCCCUGGACAAAGACUGACGCUCAGGUGCGAGAGCGUGGGGAGCAGACAGGAUUAGAUACCCCUGUAGUC
rnacentral:rRNA from 1 species